AGGUUGUCGGAAGAUGUGUCGAAUGAAGUAUUGUUGGGCGGGAAGGGGACCGAAGGGGCAUCCAUGUGAGUCCGACAUUCCAAUAAUCUCAGGUUGUGAUCUACAAGAGUUUGAACGCGUAGUUGCCCGCAUACCGAACCACAUGAUUGUUGAAAUCGAAGAGAUCGGUUUCGGACCGGUUCACAUAGUGAGAGGUAUUAAGCUGAACGUGUGAGUAUUCCGGUUCUGUGGAUUACAGUACUGGUUUGAAAACUAAUGUUGUUGACGACAUGGGCGAAUUGAAGUCCGAGAUGGGGGAUGUGCAAAUUGCAGUUGGAAGUUUGGAAACAAUUUUGUACGAUGUACUUCCAGAAAUUGUUAAAAUGGCUGACUUCUUGAAAUCCAUGAGGAGCACUGUUUGUAAUUUGAGGACAGAGGAAAGGAUGAGUGAUCUAGUAAGGAAAGUGAAGAAUGUCGUUGUCGAGAAGCAAAAUGGUGCCAGUAUUGGGCGAUGUGGAAGUCCAGUUGAUGAGUCUGCCGACAUAGGCGCUAGCAUAGUUAUGAAAAAUGUAAUUUCUUCUAGGCUGACGGGCACCGAGGUCGGGAGAAAGUGCGUCAACAGAAGAGGUGUAGAGAAGAAUUUUUGAGGUCUGGUUAUGGGAAAGUGACGGCGGAGCACAUUAAACUCCCGGGAAGCAGAUUGAUUCGUGGUAUAAACGAUCUUUCACCCAAAACCAGGGAGCUGAUGGCGUACCUAUUUGGCAGAAAAGGGAGUGGAGCUGAGGCUUCAGCCAGUCAUGAGAUAGGCAGGUGUGGUGAAUUUUUUGUCUGCAGGCAAGAUUUGAAAUGCUUAUGUCCUGAACACUCGAUCAAUAGUCAGAUAAUUAAUCUAAUGGGGGCCAUGUCAUAUGCAAACAACACGGAUUGUUGGUUUCUCCCAACCUCAUAUUCAGUUUGUAAAAAACUUAUAUUUGGCAUUCCUUGUUCCUAUUGAAAUUGUGUCCUACGCAGAAUGAAUAAAUGGCACCUAAGACGCAGGAUCAUGCAACCAGCCUUGGUAGGUAGACAAUUUUCGACGGCCAUGUAGCCUCGAUGACUUACAUACCCAGUAUGCAGAGGUUCAGAGGACGUCUUCAUGAAUGCAAAAAGGUAUUCAUUCCCAUCCAUGAUAAAGUGGAGGACCACUGGUAUCUUGCGGUUCUGAAUGUCGCUGAAGGUGAAUGUGAAAUAUGGGACAACAUCAAUGAUCUAUCGAUGAAGAAGUGGCGAGAGGAAUAUGCAAAAUGCACUAUUGAUCUGUUUUAAGAAAUCUUCGCGGAGGACUUUAAUAGAAGUCUUGAUCUGCCGUCUGUCUGUGUUCCAAUACCCGACCAGCUGCCCAAUUCAGAGGAAGGAGGAGUCGGGCAUAUAUGUGAUUAGGAAUAUGCAGCACUACGGGAAGCGGUGGUAUGACGGGUUCAACCCUGGUGAUCAAAGGGUUAGGAUAGCUCGUGAAAUAGUUGGCCACCCGUUGAAUGAGUGUGUUGGAUCUGUAUGGGCUAAUGUGUACAAGGAACAAAAGGAGGGGGCGGCUGAAGCAAUUGCUCCCCAUGACAAAGUAUCAACAGGGGGUGGGGAGGGUGGUAGAAUUCCUCCAUUGUCAAAAAAGUUCAAACCUCGUGUUCCAGCGCGAUGGUGACUACUUGCAACCACCAAUCCAUGUUUAUUAUAAACUGGCGUAACAUAAUAUGGUUGUCAGAUGUUUGAAUUGUCCCGGAGGGAGACAACUGAAACUGUUAUAUUAUUAUGUGGUUUUCCUCUUUUGUACUAUGAUCAAAACUUGAACGUUAGUAUGUAUGAAAACCUUGCAGACACCGGUUUGUAUGAAUUAAUGGUUUAAUUCAGUGUGUGGUUAUGGUG